CCGGCGAUGUCCGAAUGGGGAAACCCAGUGCAAUUCGUUGCACUAUCGUUAACUGAAUACAUAGGUUAACGAGGCGAACCGGGGGAACUGAAACAUCUAAGUACCCCGAGGAAAAGAAAUCAACCGAGAUUCCCCCAGUAGCGGCGAGCGAACGGGGAGCAGCCCAGAGUCUGAAUCAGCUUGUGUGUUAGUGGAACGGUCUGGAAAGUCCGACGGUACAGGGUGAUAGUCCCGUACACCAAAAUGCACAGGCUGUGAACUCGAAGAGUAGGGCGGGACACGUGGUAUCCUGUCUGAAUAUGGGGGGACCAUCCUCCAAGGCUAAAUACUCCUGACUGACCGAUAGUGAACCAGUACCGUGAGGGAAAGGCGAAAAGAACCCCGGCGAGGGGAGUGAAAAAGAACCUGAAACCGUGUACGUACAAGCAGUGGGAGCACCUUCGGGUGUGACUGCGUACCUUUUGUAUAAUGGGUCAGCGACUUAUAUUCUGUAGCAAGGUUAACCGUAUAGGGGAGCCGCAGGGAAACCGAGUCUUAACUGGGCGUUAAGUUGCAGGGUAUAGACCCGAAACCCGGUGAUCUAGCCAUGGGCAGGUUGAAGGUUGGGUAACACUAACUGGAGGACCGAACCGACUAAUGUUGAAAAAUUAGCGGAUGACUUGUGGCUGGGGGUGAAAGGCCAAUCAAACCGGGAGAUAGCUGGUUCUCCCCGAAAGCUAUUUAGGUAGCGCCUCGUGAAUUCAUCUUCGGGGGUAGAGCACUGUUUCGGCUAGGGGGUCAUCCCGACUUACCAACCCGAUGCAAACUACGAAUACCGAAGAAUGUUAUCACGGGAGACACACGGCGGGUGCUAACGUCCGUCGUGAAGAGGGAAACAACCCAGACCGCCAGCUAAGGUCCCAAAGUCAUGGUUAAGUGGGAAACGAUGUGGGAAGGCACAGACAGCCAGGAUGUUGGCUUAGAAGCAGCCAUCAUUUAAAGAAAGCGUAAUAGCUCACUGGUCGAGUCGGCCUGCGCGGAAGAUGUAACGGGGCUAAACCAUGCACCGAAGCUGCGGCAGCGACACUAUGUGUUGUUGGGUAGGGGAGCGUUCUGUAAG
rnacentral:rRNA from 1 species